rnacentral:rRNA from 1 species
GAUUAACGCUAGCGGCAGGCAUAAUACAUGCAAGUUGAACGGCAGCACAGGUAGCAAUACUGGGUGGCGAGUGGCGCACGGGUGCGUAACACGUAUGCAACCUACCCUAUACAGGCGAAUAACCUUUAGAAAUGAGGGCUAAUACGCCGUAGUAUUACAGAUGGGCAUCUAUUUGUAAUUAAAGAUUUAUCGGUAUAGGAUGGGCAUGCGUCCCAUUAGUUAGUUGGUAAGGUAACGGCUUACCAAGACGAUGAUGGGUAGGGGAUCUGAGAGGACUUACCCCCACACUGGUACUGAGACACGGACCAGACUCCUACGGGAGGCAGCAGUAAGGAAUAUUGGGCAAUGGCCGCGAGGCUGACCCAGCCAUGCCGCGUGCAGGAAGACGGCCUUAUGGGUUGUAAACUGCUUUUAUACGGGAAUAAUAGAGUGUACGCGUACAUUUAUGCAAGUAACGGAUGAAUAAGCAUCGGCUAACUCCGUG